AUGUUACAUACUCAAUGACUAAAUCAUGCAUCAUUUAAAAUUAAGUCAUUAUGCAUAUGAGAAGAAUCAGAUGGUACAAUUGAAAUCAAACAAUGGGAAAUUCAUUGUUAAAAUGAUGUUGGAUUUUUUUUGUUUGUUUUCUUAUGCAUACAGGUGAAAGAUACAGGAGAUAUUGAGGUAUUGAAGAACUGACUUGACUGUCCCAUCUUAUUAAGAGUCUUAAGUGAAAGCCCUGUAUUGAGAAUAUGAGCAUAUUUGAUUAUGAUGCAGUUUUGGCCCACAACCCUGCACAUGUGAAUCCAUUGUUCCACACAUUGCAAAUAAUAUCAAAUAAUUUAAUUUAAUAAUUCAAAAUGUAUUCAAUUUAAAGUGGAUAAACAAUAAAUGAAGAUGAAAGUAU